GACGAACGCUGGCGGCGUGCUUAACACAUGCAAGUCGAACGGAAAGGCCCUGCUUUUGUGGGGUGCUCGUGUGGCGAACGGGUGAGUAACACGCGAGUAACCUGCCCUUGUAUUUGGGAUAUCUCCAGGAAACUGGGGCGAAUACCGGAUAGGAGCUCCUGCUGCACGGUGGGGGUUGGAAAGAGUCGGCGGUUGGGGAUCGACUCGCGGCUUAUCAGCUUGUUGGUGGGGUAGUGGCUUACCAAGGCUUUGACGGAUAGCCGGCCUGAGAGGGUGACCGGCGACAUGAGGACUGAGAUACGGCCCAGACUCCUACGGGAGGCAGCGGUGGGGAAUAUUGCACAGUGGGCGGAAGCGUGAUGCGGCGACGCCGCGUGCGGGAUGCCGGCCUUCGAGUUGUAAACCGAUUUCGCCUGUGACGAAGAGUGAGUGACGGUAAUGGGUAAAGAAGCACCGGCUAACUACGUG
rnacentral:rRNA from 1 species